AUUGAACGCUGGCGGCAGGCCUAACACAUGCAAGUCGAGCGGAUGAAGGGGGCUUGCUCCUGGAUUCAGCGGCGGACGGGUGAGUAAUGCGCAGGAAUCUACCUCGUAGUGGGGGAUAACGUCUCGAAAGGGGCGCUAAUACCGCAUACGUUCUGAGGAAGAAAGCAGGGGGACCUUCGGGCCUUGCGCUAUGAGAUGAGCUUGCGUCCGAUUAGCUAGUUGGUGGGGUAAAGGCCUACCAAGGCGACGAUCAGUAGCGGGUCUGAGAGGAUGAUCCGCCACACUGGGACUGAGACACGGCCCAGACUCCUACGGGAGGCAGCAGUGGGGAAUUUUGGACAAUGGGCGAAAGCCUGAUCCAGCCAUGCCGCGUGUCUGAAGAAGGCCUU
rnacentral:rRNA from 1 species